AUAUGUUUCGCCUUAAUGUCAUGCUUCACAAUUAUCCUGUUUUUAGAUGUAUUUAAAUUUCUAUAUACUUAUUAAAUAGUUGUUGUGAGCGAAGGCUAGAUUAAACUUUUGAAAAGAAAUUAUUUAUGUGAUUAAGAAUCGCUACACUACCAGGAAAAAACAAAACCAGGGACAGUUACUAACAGGCAUUCUACUUUUGGGAUGGAUUCUUCACCACUUAAUCAGCCUGAAAUCAAAAAGGCUAGGCCCCCUGAUUAUAUUAUGGCAUCUAUUAUAGUUUGCAUAUUCCUUAGCUUCAAACCGACUGGGAUACUUGCUGUCCUCUAUGCAUACGAGGCAAAUAAUUAUGCGGAUGCUGGUGACAAUGUCAGGGAAAAGAGAAGUUCAAACACUGCCAGUAGGCUGAUUAUAGCCAGUGUGAUUAUUGAAAUUACUAUGUGGAUUUAUUCUUUGAUAUAUUCCAUUUUGUUAAUUAAAAUGUUCAUUUCUGGUCCAAAGUAAUACGAGGUAAUUAAGGUUACUUUUCCAGUGCACCUGUAAUUAAAUGUCCUGGUGUAUUAUAAUAACUGUUGCAUUUUUAAUAUAUGUAUCUCGCGCACAUACAUUGUCAAUUAGUCGUGCCUUUAAAAAUUAGAUUAAUAUUUGGUUUACAAAUUCCUUCCCUCUUUCAUUCAAGUAAAUUUAGAUAAUUAUUUAAAUCUUAAUGUCUACAUGGUCUAAGCAUUCAUUUCACUUUCUUUUUAAUUUGUUUACAUUUGAAAAAAUAUCAGCAGGCGAGCAGAGAAAAUAAAAUUUCACGAUCAUUUAAGUGUUAAAGCGGUACAUUUAGUGAUGAACAUUACUGUGAGAGGCAGUGAAGGUCAUUGACUGCGUAACCUUCAAGUUGUAAGUUAUACUGACGUAGAGGUCAAUAUUUUUUUCAAUGCGCCGCUUUCAUCGACAUGUUUGUAUGUAAAAUUAAUAAUUGUUGUAAUAUAAAAAGCUACUAACAUGCA